GCCUUAGAGACGAACUAAGUUUGUUAUUGGUAUGAGCUUUCGUGUGCAUGCACACUUCUUCAGAUACACGAAAGCUCAUACCAAUAACAAACUUAGUUGGUCUCUAAGGU